rnacentral:misc_RNA from 1 species
GAUGAAGAACGUAGCGAAAUGCGAUACUUGGUGUGAAUUGCAGAAUCCCGUGAACCAUCGAGUCUUUGAACGCAAGUUGCGCCUCAAGCCAUUAGGUUGAGGGCACGUCUGCCUGGGCGUCACAUAUCGUUGCCUGAUGCCAGUUUCCUCGUGAUGGGUGACUGUGCAGGGCUAAUGAUGGCUUCCCGUGAGCAUUGUUGCCUCAUGGUUGGUUGAAAAUUGAGUCCUUGGUAGGGAGCGCCGUGAUAGAUGGUGGUUGAGUGACGAACGAGACCCAAUCAUGUGAGACCCCUACCGAAUUUGGCCUUCAUGACCCACAUGCGUCUUUGGAACGCUCAUGACGAGACCUCAGGUCAGGCGGGGCUACCCGCUGAGUUUAAGCAUAUCAAUAAGCGGAGGA